GGGGGUGAAGCUGAGUGGUACAGCACUUGCCUAGCACGCACAAGGCCCCCUGGGUUCCAUUCCCAGCACCUGCA
rnacentral:tRNA from 1 species